AUACGUAGGGGGCAAGCGUUAUCCGGAUUUACUGGGUGUAAAGGGAGCGCAGGCGGUUCUGCAAGUCUGAUGUGAAAGCCCGGGGCUCAACCCCGGGACUGCAUUGGAAACUGUAGAACUUGAGUGUCGGAGGGGCAAGUGGAAUUCCUAGUGUAGCGGUGAAAUGCGUAGAUAUUAGGAGGAACACCAGUGGCGAAGGCGGCUUGCUGGACGACAACUGACGCUGAGGCUCGAAAGCGUGGGGAGC
rnacentral:rRNA from 1 species